AACGAACGCUGGCGGCGUGGAUAAGACAUGCAAGUCGAACGGGAUUAUUUUUGUAGCAAUACAGAAAUAAUUCAGUGGCGAACGGGUGCGUAACACGUGGGCAAUCUGCCGAAAAGUGGGGGAUAGCUCGCCGAAAGGCGAAUUAAUACCGCAUGUGGUGAGGGACGACAUCUUCCUGAAUCCAAAGCCGGGGCAACCUGGCGCUUUUUGAGGAGCCCGCGGCCUAUCAGCUAGUUGGCGGGGUAACGGCCCACCAAGGCUAUGACGGGUAGCUGGUCUGAGAGGACGACCAGUCACACUGGAACUGAGACACGGUCCAGACACCUACGGGUGGCAGCAGUCGAGUAAUUUUUCUCAAUGGGGGAAACCCUGAAGGAGCGACGCCGCGUGGAGGAUGAA
rnacentral:rRNA from 1 species